ACUCCUACGGGAGGCAGCAGUGGGGAAUAUUGCACAAUGGGCGCAAGCCUGAUGCAGCCAUGCCGCGUGUAUGAAGAAGGCCUUCGGGUUGUAAAGUACUUUCAGCAGUGAGGAAGGCGGGUACGUUAAUAGCGUGCUCGUUUGACGUUAGCUGCAGAAGAAGCACCGGCUAACUCCGUGCCAGCAGCCGCGGUAAUACGGAGGGUGCGAGCGUUAAUCGGAAUUACUGGGCGUAAAGCGCAUGCAGGUGGUUUGUUAAGUCAGAUGUGAAAGCCCGGGGCUCAACCUCGGAAUUGCAUUUGAAACUGGCAGACUAGAGUACUGUAGAGGGGGGUAGAAUUUCAGGUGUAGCGGUGAAAAUGCGUAGAGAUCUGAAGGAAUACCGGUGGCGAAGGCGGCCCCCUGGACAGAUACUGACACUCAGAUGCGAAAGCGUGGGGAGCAAACAGGAUUAGAUACCCUGGUAGGAUAGCG
rnacentral:rRNA from 1 species